rnacentral:lncRNA from 1 species
GCUGAGGCGCUUGCACCGUACGGGGUCUGGAGGCUGCAGAGGGUUGCGGCGCAAACGAGGGAGGGAUGACCUAGGGUUGCUGAAACCUUUUGGGCCAUUUGGGCUCAUUUUCAGUAUUGGGCCAUCAGAUUUGGGCUAGAGGGACUAUUUUGGGUAUUUGGGUUUGUAAUAAGACAUUAUUGGCCAUGUAAUAUUUGUUGGGUUUUUAAUU